AUUGCCCUAGUAACGGCGAGUGAAGCGGCAACAGCUCAAAUUUGAAAUCUGGGGAGUCCGAGUUGUAAUUUGCAGAGGAUGCUUUUGGUGCGGUCCCUGGAACGGGACGCCACAGAGGGUGAGAGCCCCGUCUGGUCGGACGCCUAGCCUCUAUAAAGCUCCUUCGACGAGUCGAGUAGUUUGGGAAUGCUGCUCAAAUCGGGAGGUAUAUGUCUUCUAAAGCUAAAUACCGGCUAGAGACCGAUAGCGCACAAGUAGAGUGAUCGAAAGAUGAAAAGCACUUUGAAAAGAGGGUUAAAUAGUACGUGAAAUUGCUAAAAGGGAAGCGCUUACAACUAGACGUAGGGGCAUUCAAUCACCUAGGGCACUUGGGUGUUUAGGCCAGCAUCGGUUCUACGGGGGAUAAAGGAAUGUGGCCCUCUCCUAGCGUGUAAUGCCCUGUAGCAGACCGAGGCUGCGUAUUAGUUGUUAGCGACCCGUCUUGAAACACGGACCAAGGAGUCGUCCUCGUAUGCGAGUAUAUGGGUGUAAACCCCUGUGCGAAAUGAAAGUGAACGUAGGUGAGGUGCAUCACCGACCGAUCCUGAUGUUCUCGGAUGGAUUUGAGUAAGAGCAUACGGGGCCGGACCCGAAAGAAGGUGAACUAUGCCUGCGUAGGGUGAAGCCAGAGGAAACUCUGGUGGAGGCUCGGUUCUGACGUGCAAAUCGAUCGUCAAACGUGGGGCGAAAGACUAAUCG
rnacentral:rRNA from 1 species